rnacentral:lncRNA from 1 species
ACGACCCGAAUCCCGGAUCCGUGACCGGCAACGUAGGAGCGGUGUCGAAAGGACACCCCACCUACGCUAAGCCUCAGAACGGACAUAUCAAAAGAAUAAUUUGUUCAAAAAUACGCAGCGGCUCAUCUGAAUAUUAUAUUAUUCAAAUACUGAUGAAACCAAAAGAUAAUUAUUAAAACAAAAAUAAUAAUUCAUAAUACUUAUUACAUUGUCAAAAUCCAAACCAAGGUAACAGUGGAGCGUCUAAGACAUCAAAUCAAAACUGAAAGGAAAGCCUCGCGAACAAGCAAGGCAUACCGACCAGAACUGAAGAAGCGGAAACACUCAACAAAGUCUCAGAAACUAAGAACCUGAAAUAAUAUUAAAAAUGAGAGUGAGUUCAACCAACUCAGUGAGGGAAUAACAUUUAAUAUACAUUUCAUAUAUUUCAGAUAUUAUUUGCAAGAUGAUUUAUCUUGAUAUACAUAUACAUAUACAUAUACAUAUACUUACUAAACAUAUUAUCAUAACGUAGUGGAUUACAUGUCAGAGAUCAGAUGACACCCGAAGGUGACCAGAUGACACCCGUCGGUGACCACUGUGGGAUGAUCAAUCGCCACAGGCUGAUGCCUCUCUCACCAGCUAGGUAACAGAAUACUAUGUGCACACAGGCUAACUAUUCUCCGUUAGCAUGGAGUUACUGACAAGUCCCAUAUCAAGGCAUAAUAGAUAUUCACAGAAUCAUCAAAGAAACGUAUAUCAUAUCAAAUAGAAUUUACUUUAUCAGAUUGCGAGUGCAAAUUCAAGAAUAAAUGAGUACUCGGAAAAUAAAGCAACAUAUAUACAUAUU